GCCUGGGUGGCUCAGUAGGUUGAGCGUCCGACUUCGGCUCAGGUCAUGAUCUCAUGGUUCGUGAGUUCAAGCCCCACAUCAGGCU
rnacentral:tRNA from 1 species